rnacentral:ncRNA from 1 species
UUAAAGUCUAAGAAGAGGAAAGUAGCUUUAAUGGUGAUCUCAAGCGAAUAGGGGUAGAGUGUAAGCCCUAUAGAUUAUGUUUUAGUGAAGUAGAACCUUGGAGAUGCUUUAUGAAAGUAUAUAUUAUGUAUAAGUAAUAAAAGCCGUUAAAUUCGUUAAGUUAUUAAGUGGGUAGAACAUUUCUACCAAAUUGAGUGGUACCGCGGAACAUAGUCCGUCUCUUUG